rnacentral:sRNA from 1 species
GCUAUUCUCGCCUCCGCGACUGAAGAUCGCUUUCACUUUAACCUUCAGAUCGUAAUUCGCUUCGCAGAUUCCUUUAAACAUUAUACAUAAUGGCUGAUUACGGAUCGUGGUGCCUGAAAGAUAUAAGAGACGAAUUGCGUCGACGGAAUGCGCGAGUCUCCGGUCGGAAAAGAGAGCUUGUCGAAAGGUCUGACUCGCUUCGAUAUUUAACCAUAAUUUCCUCUGUUAAACAUUAUUGACAUGUAGAGUGGUGAAUAAAUGAAAUCUAAAUGU